rnacentral:misc_RNA from 1 species
AGAGAAUGGGGUUCGAAGCCGGGAAGCGGCGGCGCCGCCUCUGCCCAGAACGAGGCAAUCGACCGCCGUGAGCGGUUGCGCCGGCUGGCUUUAGAAACCAUAGACCUCGCAAAAGAUCCUUAUUUCAUGCGAAAUCAUCUCGGAAGCUAUGAAUGUAAGCUUUGCUUGACGUUACACAACAAUGAAGGGAAUUACUUGGCUCACACUCAAGGAAAACGGCAUCAGACUAAUUUAGCUAAAAGAGCUGCUCGUGAAGCUAAGGAUGCUCCUGCUCAACCUCAGCCUCAUAAGCGCAAAGUUACUCUCAAAAGAAAUGUUAAAAUUGGUAGGCCUGGCUACCGAGUGACCAAGCAAUUUGAUCCGGAAACAAAACAAAGAUCUCUUUUAUUCCAGAUUGAAUAUCCUGAGAUUGAAGACAACACAAAGCCAAGGCACCGAUUCAUGUCCUCAUUCGAGCAGAAAAUCCAACCAUUUGACAAAAGAUAUCAGUUUCUUCUGUUUGCUGCUGAACCAUAUGAGAUCAUUUCAUUUAAGGUUCCAAGCACUGAGAUUGACAAAUCAACUCCCAAGUUUUUCUCGCAUUGGGAUCCAGAUUCGAAAAUGUUCACUUUGCAGUUAUACUUCAAGACUAAGCCACUGGAGACUAACAAGCCACCAACUGCUCCUACAGACAACGGGUUGUCAGCACCAGGUGCCUCAUCCAGGCCUCUACCUCCACCACCCCAAGCUCCACCUCCACCUCCACCACAAGGUCUUCCUCCUGGAGCUCCAAAUCC